UUACGGAGGAAAAGAAACCAACAGGGAUUGCUCUAGUAACGGCGAGUGAACAAGCAAAAGCUCAGUUUUGAAAGCCUACUUUGUAGGCAUUGUAUUCUGAAGCCUAGAUUCUGGGAAACGGUGUUUAAGUCUUCUGGAAAGGAGCGCCACGGAGGGUGAUAGCCCCGUACGGCACUGACCCCAUUGUAGUUUCUAGGCGUGGAGUCGAGUUGUUUGGGAAUGCAGCUCAAAUGGGAGGUAUGCUCCUUCUAAAGCUAAAUAUUUGCGAGAGACCGAUAGCGAACAAGUACUGUGAAGGAAAGAUGAAAAGAACUUUGAAAAGAGAGUGAAAUAGGACGUGAAAUUGUUGAAAUGGAAGGGUAGGCUGCUAACCAUGUAGGACCGUGUCUGAGGGGAAGAUAAAAGCUACGGAAUGUGACUCUUCGGAGUGUUAUAGCCGUGGUCAAUGUUCCCACUUGGCGCGAGGUCUC
rnacentral:rRNA from 1 species